AACGAACGCUGGCGGCAUGCCUAACACAUGCAAGUCGAACGAGACCUUCGGGUCUAUUGGCGCACGGGUGCGUAACGCGUGGGAACCUGCCCUUAGGUUCGGAAUAACUCCCCGAAAGGGGUGCUAAUACCGGAUAAUUUCUUCGGACCAAAGAUUUAUCGCCUUUGGAUGGGCCCGCGUUGGAUUAGCUAGUUGGUAGGGUAAAAGCCUACCAAGGCGACGAUCCAUAGCUGGUCUGAGAGGAUGAUCAGCCACACUGGGACUGAGACACGGCCCAGACUCCUACGGGAGGCAGCAGUGGGGAAUAUUGGACAAUGGGCGAAAGCCUGAUCCAGCAAUGCCGCGUGAGUGAUGAAGGCCUUAGGGUUGUAAAGCUCUUUUACCCGGGAUGAUAAUGACAGUACCGGGAGAAUAAGCUCCGGCUAACUCCGUG
rnacentral:rRNA from 1 species